rnacentral:rRNA from 1 species
GACGAACGCUGGCGGCGUGCUUAACACAUGCAAGUCGAACGGAAAGGCCCCCUUGUGGGGUACUCGAGUGGCGAACGGGUGAGUAACACGUGAGUAACCUACCCUUGACUUUGGGAUAACUUCAGGAAACUGGGGCUAAUACCGGAUAGGAGCUCCUGCUGCAUGGUGGGGGUUGGAAAGUUUCGGCGGUUGGGGAUGGGCUCGCGGCUUAUCAGCUUGUUGGUGGGGUAGUGGCUCACCAAGGCUUUGACGGGUAGCCGGCCUGAGAGGGUGACCGGCCACAUUGGGACUGAGAUACGGCCCAGACCCCUACGGGAGGCAGCAGUGGGGAAUAGUGCACAAUGGGCGGAAGCCUGAUGCAGCAACGCCGCGUGCGGGAUGACGGCCUUCGGGUUGUAAACCGCUUUCGCCUGUGACGAAGCGUGAGUGACGGUAAUGGGUAAAGAAGCACCGGCUAACUACGUG